rnacentral:rRNA from 1 species
UACGAAGGGUGCAAGCGUUACUCGGAAUUACUGGGCGUAAAGCGUGCGUAGGCGGUUCGGUAAGUCCGUUGUGAAAGCCCUGGGCUCAACCUGGGAAUGGCAGUGGAUACUGGCGAGCUAGAGUGUGAUAGAGGAUGGUGGAAUUCCCGGUGUAGCGGUGAAAUGCGUAGAGAUCGGGAGGAACACCAGUGGCGAAGGCGGCCAUCUGGAUCAACACUGACGCUGAGGCACGAAAGCGUGGGGAGCGAACAGG